CUAAACUUUGAUGUGUGAAAUGUUUAUUUAUAGACAUGAGUCAGUUUUCAAUACAGAUUACAACUCUUUAUUAACUAUGAAAGCAGUCUAACAGGGUUAGUCACUGUGAAUAAGUGAGAAUUCAAAGUGAAUUUUAAAUUUAAAGGUACACUCGAGACCCCUAAAACACUUUAGCUUGAAGAAGUGCUUUCAGUGUGAAGUAUCCUUUUUUCCAUUUUAAAAUAUAUGCAGAUUUCAAUAGAAAUUGGAAUUUUAUAAAUUAACCUUGUUACAGUCCUUGGCUGUCAGUCAAACAGCCAGUCCGGUUACUUGCUAGUUGUUUAGCUCAGCGGAGCUAAACUCAAGAGGCAGGCAAUUGUUCAGAGCACUUGUCUUGCAAAGACUACUAAAAGAGACUAGACAUAUGCCACUUUCAAUACCCUAGGUUAUCUACUUUUGGUAUGCCAUGAUGGGGGGUAAUUCUCAUUCCUGGGCUUCCAUACAGUUUAAGUCAACAUAAGCAAUAUGGCAAAUUUCAAUGUGUAAAAACUGAAAUGGGCAAGGCUCAGAUUUAACCCUGUAACUUUUUCAAAACCCCAUAAAACCUGUACAUGGGAGGUACUGAUGUACUGUACAGACUUAGAUGAACAUAAAUAUGAGUGUUUUAGAGUAGUAAAAUGUACAAUGAUAUCAUCAUGCAUGAAGGUACAGUUUUUGCAUGAAAGAUGCAAAAAAAAAAAACAAAAAAAAAAAAACUCCCACUAACUUGGGCAAGGGUUUGUGACUACUAGAAAAGACUGGACAUAACCCAUUUUGAAUACCAUGGGUUGUCUACCUUUGCAAAUGGUUUGCCAUGAUGGCGGUAAUUUUCAUUCCUAGGCUGCCAUAAGCAGUGGCAAAAGUUAUGUAGAGAGGGCCCUAGUGCAAGGAUUUUUGGAGGGGUUCAUCUAGCAUAAGCAUGGCCAACAGAUAAAUCCCCAUCUAUUGUACAACUCCCACAAUGCUUUUCCAGCUGGGGAUCUACCUUGUGCCCACCCUUGCAGAGCUGUAUUUGUGACCAGUGUUUGUGUUUAAAUGUAGGCAUGUUUUGUGUUUUUGAAUGUAUAUACACAUGUAUGUGUAGUAUUUUCACUUGAAUGCAGUUGUAUGUUGAUAUGUACUAUUGCUAUUUGAAAGCCGUGGUGCACUUGUGUGUAAUAUUUGUAUAUAUAGUUGAUG